AGGGACAUAGCUCACUGGUAGAGCAUUUGCUUUGUAUGCAGAAGGUCCCAAGUUCCAUUCCUGGCAUUUCUA